rnacentral:lncRNA from 1 species
GGAGACGGGCGUCCCUUGAAGCGGAGCCCACAGCGCAAGCUCGCCGCCUCUGGCGAGCGUCUUUUAGGCGGCGCUUAGGGAGGUGAAGGGGCCCCAACCCCCUCGGGCUCCCUCUUGGCUCACGGCCCCUCCAGGUCCUCGCCGCAGGUUCAGACGCCCUGUUUGCUCUCGCGGGAUGCUCUGCUACGUGCUUAUCCCCGCGGCAAACUUAGACUCGGCUUAGACCUCCCUGAGGACCCUGCGGAAAGAAUCCGGCCCUCGCACUCCUGUGCCCGGUCCCGGCUCCCUGUCGCCCGGUUCGCCCGGUGGUGUGUUUGGUGCUUCCGGCGCCCGACGCUCCCACGUGAGCUCGGGGCAGAGGGCGGUCACGUGUGACCUGGCUCGGGGCCUGGCUCGCGCGGCCCUGCUUCUGCUUCAGCAUGUCGACCUCUCCGGCCGUGCGCCGACACCCAGCCCGCCGGUAGCCGCGUGUGGAGACGGAAGCGAAAGGAGAGCCGAGGCUCCGGGCUCGCAAGGUCCUCGGGGCCCUACCGCUUCCUCCGCACCUCCUGACCCGGACCCUGCGCCCACCCCUGCAGGCUGCAGCGGGGACGCUUUGUCCCGACGCCCGGAGCACCGUGUGCCCAAAGGGCAGCGGAUGCGGAGGCUCCGGUCCGCCUGGGGAGCGGGGCUGGCCGCGGAGGGGCGGGCCUGCGGGCUGGGAUAGGAGGGGAGGGCGCGGGGCGCCUCCAAACCGCCGCGGGAUUUCUGCGAAGGAGAGGUCCUGGGAAAGGCCUUGCUCUGGGUGGAUGAAACUGGCUUCUAUUUUUGGCCGAAGCCAAGGGGAGCAACUGCACUGAAAUGCCCGGCCUUGUGGGCAGCAGGCGAGUGGGCAGGGCCACCCUCUGUCCACCUCCUGCCCAGGCAGAGAGCGGGAGGAGGCGCUAAUCCCUGUGGUUCAGGCACCAGCUACCCAAACCCACAGACCACGGCUCAUCCCCAGGGGCCGGAGGAUGAAUACUCAGCUGGGCAUUCUGGAAUUUCCAGGGCCAUCUCCUUAAAAUGCAGUAAGAAUUUAUCAGCAUCUCCAGCCCCCACACGAACAGGCCUGGAGGAGACCAGAAUGAAGAGGGACGGACCUGCCUCCUGGAGUCCUGAGGCCCAAGGGCCGGUCCACCGCCUGGCUGUUGUAUCCUCGCAGUUUAUUCUGAGUCUUGGGAUCCUCAACCAUAAACUGGAGAUACCUCUUACCUCACAAGCCCACAGGAUCAGAUGGAGUAAGUGUUAGUCGCUCAGUCUUUACAACCCCAUGGACUGUAGCCCGCCAGGCUCCUCUGUCCACGGGAUUUCCCGGCAAGAGUACUGGAGUGGGUUGCCAUUCCCUUCUCCAGGGGAUCUUCCCGACCCAGGAUCGAGCCCGCGGGCCCUGCAUUGGCUGAUGGACUCUUCACCACUGUGCCACCACGGAGGCCCCCAGAGAGAGUAAAGCUU